GUGUCAGCAGCCGCGGUAACACGUAGGAGGCGAACGUUAUCCGGAAUUACUGGGCGUAAAGCGCGCGUAGGCGGCUCUGUAAGUCCGACGUGAAAGCUCCUGGCUUAACUGGGAGAGGUCGUUGGAUACUGCAAAGCUCGAGGUUAGGAGAGGAAAGUGGAAUUCCCGGUGUAGUGGUGGAAUGCGUAGAUAUCGGGAGGAACUCCAGUGGCGAAAGCGACUUUCUGGCCUACACCUAACGCUGAAGCGCGAAAGCGUGGGGAGCGAACAGGAUUAGAAACCCCUGUAGUCC
rnacentral:rRNA from 1 species